rnacentral:rRNA from 1 species
UACAGAGGUGGCAAGCGUUGUUCGGAAUUACUGGGCGUAAAGGGCGCGUAGGCGGCCUUGUAAGUCUUGUGUGAAAUCCCUCGGCUCAACUGAGGAACUGCACGGGAUACUGCGAGGCUUGAGUUCGGGAGAGGGAAGCGGAAUUCCGGGUGUAGCGGUGGAAUGCGUAGAUAUCUGGAGGAACACCGGUGGCGAAGGCGGCAUCCUGGACCGACACUGACACUGAGGAGCGAAAGCCAGGGGAGCAAACGGG